UAGAGUUUGAUCAUGGCUCAGGACGAACGUUGGCGGCGUGCUUAACACAUGCAAGUCUGCGAGAAAGUUAUAGCAAUAUAGCGAGUAAAGCGGCGAAAGGGUGCGUAACGCGUAAGCAACUUGCCCAUAGGAUGGGGAUAACGUCGAGAAAUCGGCGCUAAUACCCAAUAAUGCAGCGGCAUCGCAUGAUGAUGUUGUUAAAGGUCGCUUCGGUGGCGCCUAUGGAUGGGCUUGCGUCUGAUUAGUUAGUUGGCGAGGUAACGGCUCACCAAGACGACGAUCAGUAGCUGGUCUGAGAGGAUGAUCAGCCACACUGGAACUGAGACACGGUCCAGACUCCUACGGGAGGCAGCAGUGAGGAAUAUUGGGCAAUGCCCGCAAGGGUGACCCAGCAACGCCGCGUGGAGGAUGACAGCCGUAAGGUUGUAAACUCCUGUUCGGGGGGACGAAUAACCGUCGUUUGCAAAGGCGACGGCUUGACGGUACCCUCAGAGAAAGCCCCGGCUAACUACGUGCCAGCAGCCGCGGUAAUACGUAGGGGGCAAACGUUGUCCGGAUUUACUGGGUGUAAAGGGCGCGCAGGCUGGUCGGUCAGUCAGAGGUGAAAGCCCACAGCUUAACUGUGGAACUGCCUUUGAUACUGCCGAUCUUGAGUGCGGGAGAGAGAAGCGGAAUUCCAGGUGUAGUGGUGAAAUACGUAGAUAUCUGGAAGAACACCGGUUGCGAAGGCGGCUUCUUGGACCGACACUGACGCUGANGCGCGAAAGCGUGGGUAGCGAACAGGAUUAGAUACCCUGGUAGUCCACGCUGUAAACGAUGAAUGUUAGAUGUCGGGGGAUUUUCCUUCGGCGUCAAAGUUAACGCAUUAAACAUUCCACCUGGGAGUACGAUCGCAGGUGAACUCAAAGGAUUGACGGGGCCGCACAGCAGUGGAGCAU
rnacentral:rRNA from 1 species